GUGAAUCAUCGAAUCUUUGAACGCAAAUUGCACUCCCUGGUAUUCCGGUGAGUAUGCCUGGUUGAGGGUCGUUAGAAUAAAAAAUCGAGGCGUCUCUCUUUUUUUGAGGGUGAUCGCGUCGGAAUUGAGCCGUCGUUCAUAUGUUAAUUCAUGUCAAAGUGUCUUAAAAUUCAUUCAUCCAGUACGAUUAAAUCUUAUUUAAGAUCA
rnacentral:misc_RNA from 1 species